UACGUAGGGUGCGAGCGUUAAUCGGAAUUACUGGGCGUAAAGUGUGCGCAGGCGGCCGCGCAAGUCGAGUGUGAAAGCCCCGGGCUUAACUUGGGAAUUGCGCUCGAAACUACGUGGCUGGAGUGUGGCAGAGGAAGGUGGAAUUCCAGGUGUAGCGGUGAAAUGCGUAGAGAUCUGGAGGAACACCGAUGGCGAAGGCAGCCUUCUGGGCCAACACUGACGCUCAUGCACGAAAGCGUGGGGAGCGAACAGG
rnacentral:rRNA from 1 species